rnacentral:sRNA from 1 species
GGAUGAAGGUUAUCUUUCCCAAUGGGUUAAAUACAUUAUCAAUUGCUACAGCAACUUUCCAGGACCUCGGGGGACAUGCACAAACUUUCAACGUUUACACCAGGGAGAAAGUGUUGCAAGUGUAUUGGCCAACUGGUCAAGAGAAGGAAGCACGAAUUUAUCACAGAUUAAGGGAUCAUCCGGCUGCAGGACAAAAAAUGACGAGGGUACAUGUAAUCAUUACCAAAAUUUGAUGCGAGCUGACACAGACGCCAUGGCCUGCGAAGCCAAGUUCUGUGGGGACGGCCGGCAGUUGGUUUGCCUUUACGCCGCCUCAGAAGAUUGUAACUGGCAGCAGGGGUCGCAAGAAUCACAAGUCCGCCCUGCCAGAACCUGGAGACCUAGGAACCCAAUCUACAAUAGGCAGUAUUGGAAUGAAAGAAAGUAGGCUUCAAAGGCGUUAAGAAUUAUCCGGUGAGAGAAAACAAAAAGGGAGAGAACAACCUCGUUGUGUUAAUGUUAAACUUUGGAAUAUUUUGACAUUUAAUCCAUUUAAAAAAAAAUACUUUUAUGCCUUUCCUUUUGCUUAAGGUCAGUCGACCCCCAGCUUGUUUAAGACUUAGAAUUUUGUACCAAUAUAUUUCAUUAGGGUUACACUUUAUUUUUUAUUGGGCAGCCAAUAUUGAACUUCCAUAUAAAUUUAUAUGCUAUAAAAUGGGAUAAGCAUUGUUCGUUAAUAGUUGCAUUGUAGUGUCGUUUAGUACUCUAGCGAUGGUUUUAUGUACUUUCAAGACAAAAUGUUUAAUUUAAUUAGUUUUUUUAUACCUUUGUGUGUCACUCUUGAAUCUAGUGGCAAUUAUUUUGGAAAUGUUACUUAUAGAACUGGCGUAUUCAAUUGUAAGUAUUUUAAACUCGCCUGCUUCAUUUUUUUUUAGAUAAUUCCAAGUCAAAACUUUUUCUUGCUGAAUUGUCUUUUGUUUUCCUUUAUGUCUCCUUCGUUUGUAAAAGAAAAAUGAAUUAAAAACAAUAACAGUGAAAUGUAGACAAGAAAGCUUCGUUACUAAGCGCCUGACACAGCAUAACUAACCUCAUAUAUACUCAAGUACUGCUAACAAAGCAUAACUGACCUCAUAUAUACUCAAGUACUGCUAACAAAGCAUAAGAAACCUAUCUACUCAACUACUAUUAACUACCCACCUGUGGCAUACUACUGUGAAACAUUAUCUGUCAUUAUCACGCUGGUAACUUAAGAUCUGUGGUGGGACUAGUGUGCGUGCAGUGGGGAGGUAGAUCAUGUUAAUCAAAACGUAGCUUCGGCUAGAACCUGGAGGGGUGCUAUUUAAAUUCCUUUACUUUGGUGUCUAGACUUCCAUUGUCUCUCAUUUCUAAUCUAUUGGAUAGGUAGACACCAGACACCUUUUGUAGCUGAACCCCUCUUCAGUGGACAGGUAGACACCAGACACCUUUUGUAGCUGAGCCCCUCUUCAGUGUAUAGGUAGACACCAGAGACCUUUUGUAGCUGAACCCCUCUUCAGUGGAUAGGUAGACACCAGACACCUUUUGUAGCUGAACCCCUCUUCAGUGGACAGGUAGACACCAGACACCUUUUGUAGCUGAACCCCUCUUCAGUGGAUAGGUAGACACCAGACAUCUUUUGUAGCUGAACCCCUCUUCAGUGGAUAGGUAGACACCAGAGACCUUUUGUAGCUGAACCCCUCUUCAGUGGACAUAAUUAUUUUUACCUCCUAGUGGUCAAUGAAUUCUAUAUGUGUAUCAUAAGUCAUGAUGGUAGGUUUUGUUUAAGGACAAAAAAAAAUUCUAGACAAUAGAAGCCUGUCCAAAUUGACACUCUUGGGUAUAACCUUCACCUUCACUUAUCCCAUAGUGUUUCUGACCAUUAGAGCCCCGAACAUUUUCUGUUGACCAUCUGUCUUCAUUCCUCUCUUUUUCCAACAAAAGAGUGGUUUCAAUGACAGGCUUGUCCAUUCCUUGACAUUGUCUACACAGUGUCUACAUAGUGUCUACAUAGUGUCUACACAGUGUCUACAUAGUGUCUACAUAGCGUUAUUAUUGUAUCUGCCUAUGCUUCCCUGGAUAUAACUUAUUUGUAUAAGACUGUGUUUUUAUCUAGAUCUAGCUUAAAUGAAUAUAUUCACUAUCAAUGCAUACAAUUAUAUAUACAUGCUAUUAUUUAAAUAUUUAAAUUAUUUAAAUAUUUAUAUUUUAUGUAAUUCACUUGUAUUUCUUGUUGUUGAUUUAGAAUUCUAUGACAUGGGAGUUUUGUAUAUAAAACAAAUAACAAAAUGCAAAAAAAUAAAUAACAUUUUGUAAACAAACUA